UUCCUUUUAGCUUAAGUGGUAAAGUAUCAGUUUGAAGGUCUGAAGAUAUGUGUUUUUAGAGGUGG
rnacentral:tRNA from 1 species